rnacentral:rRNA from 1 species
AUGACCUUCCUUAAGGGAAGGCACAUUCUAGAGGGGAUCCUCUGCUUCCACAAGGUCGUCCACGAGAUCAAAUGCAAGAAAAAGAAAGUCAUCGUCCUAAAACUCGACUUCGAGAAGGCAUACAACCGGGUCAACUGGUCCUCAAGGAGGUUCUCCUCUGCAAGGGUUUCCAUGCAGGGUUUAUCCACCGAAUCAUGGAGCUGGUCUUGGGUGGCAAACCUCCAUUGUAUCAACCGCACUACCGGGCCUUUCAUCCAUAAUAAACAAGGCAUUAGGCAAGGCGAUCCAAUCUCUCUCCUUUGGUUCAACCUCGCAGUGGACGCACUUUGUACCAUGCUAUCCGAAGCCAGGGAGGUUGGCCACCUUACGGGCGUAGUGGCUCAUCUGAUCCCCAACGGUAUCUCUCGUCUCCAGUACACGGACGACACCCUGCUUUUGUUUGAACCAGAUCAAAGUAGCAUGGCCAGGAUCAGAACGCUUCCUAUUUUCUUUGAGGCAAUGUCGGGGCUCAAAAUCAAUUACACUAAAAGCAAUGUGGUAACCAUGGGAAUAUCACCCGACGAGGGUCUUCGAGCGGUCAAGCUACUUGACUAUAAACUUGUGGAUUUCCCCAUGGUGUACUUGGGUCUAACUGCUUCCGAACAAGCCCUUGCCAGCGCCGACUAUGACCCUACGGUAGGAAAAGUAGGUUAUAGGGUAGAACCGUGGCAAGGUAAGCUUAUGUCAUUAGGCGCAAGACUCGCCCUCACUAACGCUUGUCACUUGGCUAUUCCUUUUUAUGCAAUGGGGUUUGUUCCUUCUCGACGACGGGGUUCACAAGCAACUUGA